UGUAACUGUUGUACCACUUGACCAGCACUUUCAUGGCAGUGUCCUUGGGUAAAAUAAACCUGACGGCCUGCAGGCAACGUUUGACUGUGGGAGUGAAAGAAAGAUCAGCGGUUAAUAACAAAAGUCACUGUCACAAUGGCCUCUUGUGAGUCAAUAUGUUUGUUUCACUCAUUCCAUCAUUCAUCAGGCAGAAUCACUUGGGUGCACACGGAGGGGGCCGGCGCUUCAAAGGACACAGCCGGAGCUGGAACACACAUCUGAGCGAGGGGGUGGAGAACACAGGGGAACCGAGCGAAGCAAGGGACACUACACUUGAGGGGGUUUAUAGAUGACUGUUUGCCAGAGUGCUCGACUGCGUGACACGGGGGCUACAAGACCUGAUACA